UGGGGAAUUUUUGGACAAUGGGCGAAAGCCUGAUCCAGCAAUGCCGCGUGUGUGAAGAAGGCCUUCGGGUUGUAAAGCACUUUUGUCCGGAAAGAAAUCCUUGGCUCUAAUACAGUCGGGGGAUGACGGUACCGGAAGAAUAAGCACCGGCUAACUACGUGCCAGCAGCCGCGGUAAUACGUAGGGUGCAAGCGUUAAUCGGAAUUACUGGGCGUAAAGCGUGCGCAGGCGGUUUGCUAAGACCGAUGUGAAAUCCCCGGGCUCAACCUGGGAACUGCAUUGGUGACUGGCAGGCUAGAGUAUGGCAGAGGGGGGUAGAAUUCCACGUGUAGCAGUGAAAUGCGUAGAGAUGUGGAGGAAUACCGAUGGCGAAGGCAGCCCCCUGGGCCAAUACUGACGCUCAUGCACGAAAGCGUGGGGAGCAAAACAGGAUUAGAUACCCUGGUAGUCCACGCCCUAAACGAUGUCAACUAGUUGUUGGGGAUUCAUUUCCUUAGUAACGUAGCUAACGCGUGAAGUUGACCGCCUGGGGGAGUACGGUCGCAAGAUUAAAACUCAAAGGAAUUGACGGGGUCAUAGCUGUUUCCU
rnacentral:rRNA from 1 species